UUUAAGUGGAGUUGUAAUUUUAACAUAUCUAAUAUUUGUUUGUCCGUUUUAUUUGAAUGUUUUUUAAUUAGUAUUUUUAUUACUAUUAUAUGAUAAAACAUGAAUAGUACUUUAUGCGUGAGUUAUUUUUUUAUUUUUUCAUAAAUUUUUUAAAUAAGACGGAUAAUCAAAUAUUGGAUAUAGAAACCCACAACUACAUUUAAA
rfam:Oryza barthii chromosome 5, whole genome shotgun sequence.